rnacentral:lncRNA from 1 species
UAUGUGUAUAGUUAUCGGCACGAAUCUUGAGCUCUGACCUACAUCUGCGCAGAAGUGAUUUAUUAGCAAAGAACUAAUCCCGAGUGACGGCUAUGACGCGAUGCGCUGCGGGCCAAUCACCGCUUUAGCCCGCCCCCGCGCCUCACUUCAUACCACAAAAGGGACCCAAUAAAUUAUUGCUGCGCAGGUGAAGUUCAGAGCUCAAGAUUCGUGCCGAUAACUAUAC